rfam:Camelus ferus unplaced genomic scaffold scaffold68050, whole genome shotgun sequence.
GUGGGUAUAGCUUAAGAGGUAGAGCGCAUGCUUAGUAUGCACAAGGUCCUGGGUUCGAUCUCCAGUACCUCCA